UUUUUUCGGAAGGGUGGUCAGUCCGCACCGACCACAUAAUGAAUAUCUUCAGACUUGAUAUAGCGGAAGCUCAACAAUGGGAUUCGUCUGCGCAAGGAUGGCACGCACAAAUCGAGAAAUGGUCCAAAUUUUUUUUGCUCCUUCGCCAGCGGUGAUACUCUGAUACCAAAAAUGUUUUGCCGCUCGGCGGCGGCGAUGCUCUCUCACAAGAUUUCUUGAGGUUCGUAAACUAUUCGGAGUUUAUGUCGUUCUGUUUAAUUUCAUGUUUCCCCAAAUUCAGCUGAUAGCCAUGGGCAUAUUAUUUUUUAUGCUCUACUGUAAUUUUUUAGCGGCGGCGAUGCUCUCUCACAAGAUUUAUUGAGGUUCGUAAACUAUUCAGAGUUUAUGUCGUUCUGUUUAAUUUCAUGUUUCCACAAAUUCAACUGAUAGCCAUGGGCAUAUUAUUUUUUAUGCUCUACUGUAAUUUUUUAGCGGCGGCGAUGCUCUCUCACAAGAUUUCUUGAGGUUCGUAAACUAUUCAGAGUUUAUGUCGUUCUGUUUAAUUUCAUGUUUCCCCAAAUUCAGCUGAUAGCCAUGGGCAUAUUAUUUUUUAUGCUCUACUGUAAUUUUUUAGCGCCGGCGAUGCUCUCUCACAAGAUUUCUUGAGGUUCGUAAACUAUUCAGAGUUUAUGUCGUUCUGUUUAAUUUCGUAAACUAGCGGCGGCGAUGCUCUCUCACAAAACAUUUGUUUCCUGCUGAGAAAGUAUACAAUUGUGGGUUGUAGUAGAUGCAAGAGUCCUAGUUUAUGGCUCUGCUCUUCUGAAUGUUAACAGCUCAUUUAUUUCCUUCUCAGAGUGCACUUUGGAGAUGUCAGUUCUUGAGUUCAAUAGGAUUUGGAAUUGCUCACACGUUAGUCCUGAAACUAUGUUCAGGAAACGAUUUGUGAAUAAUUUUCUUACUUAGGGAAAGGUAUAACUAUGGUAUAUUAUUUUCUUCUUGUCUAUGCGCUUUAGAAUAUGUCAUUUUGCGAAGCUAAAUUUCAUAAACUAAAGGGAAACAAAAAAGAACUAAGAUGGUGUAUUGAUAAUUUACGCAUAAUUUUAGUACAUGAACUAAAGGUGAGCAGAUAUUAAAGUAAAAUGACGAAAAAAAGGAUAGUACUAAAGUAAAAUGGAGAAGACGCAAAGUAAUUUAAGUGUCUGAGCAAGACUAAUACUACUGUUAAUUCUUACUCAAAAGGAUACUAGUGCUCUAUGCUAACCCUCAUGUAACGUACUACUGACCUACUAGUUGGGUUUGUUGGAGAUUUCAACGUUGGUUGAAGGAAUGAGAUGUGUAGUCUCUUAAUGAGGUAUUAGGCAAUCUUCACAUCUUGAAUUAGAUUUUGGAGUUGAGUUAAGGCCCAUGUUCAUUUUCUUUGCAUUUUAUCAAAACCAUAUGCAUCCGAUCGUUGUCUUAUCCAAUAUUAGGCCUCAUUUUAAAACAUAGCAUUAUCUACCAACCAACCCUUCCGUCAAUUGUCUAACGGUGCUAGGCAGUUAGAUAGAUGCCAACUUCCUAACAUUAGGAUUUGGUAUGACAAAAUCAAACUACUUUUUUUUUUGUUAGUUGAAUUAAUGUAUGGAGAGAAGGAGUUGCAAUUUGUAAGAUUUCUGUCCAUAUGAUCUCCCUCUCUAUAAGUUUUUAUAUUUAUUGUUUUGAUAAUCAGUGUGGUAAUUUGAGGUUAGGCUUAAGUGUUAGGAUCGAAAGAAUCAGGUGUCAAUCCUUGAACGACGAUAAAUCAUACAACAGAAGAAAAAUAUAUCGACUUACGUCAAUAGAUGGAGAUGAGUAAUCCACUAUAUAAAAGAGAGUACAAAAUAUCGAGAGAACAACUUCACAAAGAGGCAAACACAAGUGACACGCUAACACUUGUCCCAUAAAGUUUUUUCCCUAAACAAGACUCUCAAAUCCCAAAUGGCUACAUUGUGGCUGAUACUGAAUGAGAAGGAAGGAUCCUCAAUUUAUAGAAGUCUAACCCUUUUCCUUCAAGAAAAGAGAUUACCCAAACAUGGGAGAUUUAUAAUUUCCUUCUACUAGAAGGAAAAUUCAAUUAUGGUAAAUAUGUUGUCAUUUCCUUCAAGGGAUAGAAAAAUCAAAUAUGAUAAGAAAAUCAGGACAACACCUAACACUAAGCACCCUCCUGUGCUGCAGAUUUAUAUACAACAUAUCCUAGAAUGCUUACCGGGUGAAAGUUAUAAAUAAAAUAAAAUAUCCACAUUCUUCAAAUUCUCUCGAGAAAAUAAUAAAAGUGAUGCUCCGUGUGACACAAAAGUUGUACACUUGUGCUCCACGGGAUUAGAAAAAUGUAGAGAUGUCUUUGUCAGGGAAAAGAAUUGAAGGUGGGAGAAAAGAAUUGUUACAUCAACCAUGCAUAUAUAAGAAGCAAUGGAAGAUGAUAGAAAUAUAGAAUUGGUUGUAUUACACUCUUUAUUUUGAAACUUUUAAAUUACUUAAUAUUAUUCUAUUUGAAAAAUAAUUUUCACAACUUAAUUCGAGUUCAUUAGCUCUUUAAAAUCUUUUACUUUGAAAUGAUAUUUUCUCAAUCAAACUAAUUAUUCAACCAUCAUCUUUAUAUUUUCGUCUAUUAUCACUAUAAUCAAUAAAUCAAAGCUAACAUCUUAAACUACAUGAAAUAUCACCACAUAUGAGGAGAUUGAACGAGAUUAUGUAAUGAAACGGUAUCUUAUUUUCACAAAUAGUACUUCACGGAUGGUACUUCGAAUGGAGCUAGCAUAAAUAGAUUAACGAUACUUCUUUGAUUUUUAAGAUACUUCUUUAUUUUUUAAGUUAUUCUAUCAAAUCAAUCACAUAAGAUCUUUGUCUUUGCUCGAACAGAUGAAAAGAUGAGAUCACUUGUAUUGGACAAAUCUAGCAUGUCUCUCCAUUUGGACCAAGAGAAACCCUUUUGACGAGCCUAACUUUCAGACCAUGUUUUAUUUGAACGAUUAUAGAAGCACUUGGAGAAAUUGUUUGUGGUUCCACCAUUUGGAUAUGAUAGUGGCUGCCACCAUUUUCAUUUGAGUGAAUGCCAUUUCCUUCCCUAAACAAGUCCUUGGACCCGCAUUAAAUGCAGGAAAUUUGAAAGAUGACACAUGAUUGAUUCUUCCUUGCUCUGAAAUCCAUCUUUCUGGCUUGAAUUCUAAACAAUCUUUUCCCCAUAUAGUCUCCAUUCUCCCCAUUGUAUAGAACGAUAGCACAAUUCUCGUGUUUGGGUUAGACACAAUGACCGCUUGGAAGUAUGUCAAAUUCAAGUGGAACUUUAUGCUCCAAAGAAGGUGAUGGAAAUAGCCUAAGAGUUUCACACAAAGCACCAUGUAGAUAUAUCAGUUUUCGUGUUUCUUCUAUGUUGAAAAACUUGAGGUUUUCAUCUUCUUUUAGAUGCAAUUGUUGUUGAAUCUCUUCCCUAAUCUUUGUUCAUCAACUCCUCUUGCUCACUUGAAAUGCAAGGAUAUAGAAAUUGAUCAAUAGCUUUCCAUGCUUGAACAAGCUUCUUUUCUUUACCAAUGUGAGGCCAAUUUUAC
rnacentral:lncRNA from 1 species